AUGGUAUCCGUUGCUGUUUAUAGAGAAGAGGAAAGAGAGGAAGAGGAGGAACAAGUGGAGGUUACAUCAUACGAAGUGAUUGAAGAACCAGAAGAAUAUGUCGUGGAAGAAAAGCUACAUAUUAUUUCUAAAAGGGUGGAAAUGGAACCUGCUGAAGGUACAUCCCCUCAAGUUAAUUCUAUUUUUCAAUGUAUUACUACCUCUCUUGGAUCUCAAUGGUGCCAAUGUUUUCUGUAUUAUAUAUAUAUGUGUGUGUGUUGUAAAUUUUAAUUCUUUACUAAGAUAGUUAGGUUUUGUUUUGUUUGCAAACAAAACAUGAGGAAAAUUUCACAAAUAUACAUUAUAAUGUUUUUAAGUGCCUGAGAUGCCUCGGAGAGUGGUCCAGAAACAAAAAGUACCUGCUGCUAUUCCUCCAAGAGAGGAGGCUCCUCCUGUAAAAGGUAUAAUCUCCUAUGAAAGAUGCCAAAGCAUCCAUGUCUUUUAACUAUUCUUUGGACACAUAUUUGAUUAAAAUUAUGUCAAUACAUAGAUGUCUGUUUGUUUCCCCAAGUGUUGUAUAAUGUUUAUCUAAUAUUUGUAGUGAGAUGGUUUUGCUUUUUUAAAAUGAAAGAAAAACCUCUAUUUUGAUUUCAUGUAAAUCAGUAUUCUUAAAACUAAUCUUUCCAAAGUUCCUGAAGCACCAAAGAAAACUGUUCCUGAGAAGAAAGUUCCUGUACCUGUUCCUAAAAAAGAAAAACCCCCACCUGCUAAAGGUAUUGUGGUCCAAUCUUGAAAAAUGCUUGUCAUUUUUGCUCUAUAAUAAGUUGUCUUUCUAAUUUCCUUGAAAUUAAAAAGAAAAUUAAGUGUCUGCUUCAUGUACCUUCAAAUUGACACAAUCACCUAAUAUCUUUAAAGUGCCUGAAGUGACAAAGAAACCAGUACCAGAAAAACACGCUCCUCCUGCUCCUAAGAUAGAAGCACCUCCUCCCACUAAAGGUAAAUGAAAUCAAACUGUCCUCCUAAAUCUGCACAUUGGAUCUUGUCCUUUAUUUUUCAUGUUUCUGUCAUUUGAGUCAAAUCUCUUAAGUGUGUGUAAGUUGUGUGUGUGUUUGUGUGUUCAUGUGUAUGUUAAUAGCAGUGAUGUAUAAUUGUCUUGUCUUCGGAUGGACUGUUAGCAAUUUCUUGUAUCAGUUUAGUGUGUGUAUUGUAAAUCAGCAUAAUUCUGGCUAAUUGAUAUAAAACUCUCCUCCAAGUUGUCUAGCUCCCUAAUCCUAAAAAUUAUCUUUUAAGUGACUGAGACGCGUAUGCAAAUUACCCAAGAAGAAAAAAUUCAAGUUGCUGUAACUAAAAAAGAGGAGCCUCCAAGAGCCAGAGGUACAUCAUCCAUCUCUAAAAUACACCAAAUACUUUUUCUUUCAUUAUUCUCUUACCAAUUAUUACUAAUGACCCCUUGAAAUGCUAGUACACCCGGUUCUAUUUUGGAGCAAUGAAAAUGUCAAGUCUUUUAUACUUCUGUAUUGUAUUGUGUGGAUGUUUUUUGUUGUUGUGAGUUAAGUGGAAAACUAUUCUUAAAAAUUGACUAUUAUCUUUAAAGUGCCUAAAGAGCCCCAGAGACCUGAGCCUGAAGAAAAAGUACCCAAACUCAAACCUAGAAAAGUGGAGGCCCCACCAGUCAAAGGUACAUUUGCUCCUUUAGAAAUCAAAAUAAGCUUCUAUAUAUCAAAAAUCAAGCAAAUUCAGAUGACUCCAGCCCAUUCGAAGAAAGAUUAUGCCACCAUAUAUGCACAUAUAGAUACACAUGAACUC
ensembl:lncRNA